rnacentral:rRNA from 1 species
UACGUAGGGGGCAAGCGUUAUCCGGAAUUACUGGGUGUAAAGGGUGAGUAGGCGGCAUGGUAAGCCAGAUGUGAAAGCCUUGGGCUUAACCCGAGGAUUGCAUUUGGAACUAUCAAGCUAGAGUACAGGAGAGAAAAGCGGAAUUCCUAGUGUAGCGGUGAAAUGCGUAGAUAUUAGGAAGAACACCAGUGGCGAAGGCGGCUUUCUGGACUGAAACUGACGCUGAGGCACGAAAGCGUGGGGAGCGAACAGG